UGAACAUCCAUCCACCCAUCAUCCAUCCAUCUAUUAUCCAUCCACCCGUUCAAUCACCCGUCCAUCCAUCAUCCACCCAUACAUCCACCCACCUUAACCUCCAUCGACACAUGCAUCCAUCCAUCCAUCAACCCAUGCAUCCAUCCAUCUACCCAUCCACCCACCCAUCCAUCAUCCAUCCACCCAUCCAUUAUCCAUUCACCCGUCCAUUAUCUACCCAUCAUCUGUCACCCAUCCAUUCAUCUGUCUAAACAGGUAUUUCCUCCCCCCUCACUUGCCCUUGUCAAACCAUCAAUCUUCCUGGGGCCAUGCUGGGUGUCUUGGGAAGACUGUGCUCACCUCAGGCUUUGUGUUGUGUGGUUUGUGUGAGUGGUUUGUAAGUGUGUUGUGUGUGUGUGGUGUGUUGUGUAUGCAUGUUCAUGGGCAGAGGCCUCCAGGAGCACCCACACACGGGCAGGGAUAUUUGCCCUCCCUUCACACUGUCCUGCCACUCCCCUCUCUCACUCAGCCCCUGCUCUCUGUAGGAGCGGGAUUUCUCCUCCAUCCAGGUGGCGGUGGUUUCUGACACCUUGGCCUGGCCUCCUGCUCUCACCGUCUGUGCCCAGGGGCAGGGCCUUGUCGUGGAGCCCCCACAAGAUGAGGGCCCCUGAGUGAGGGUGGGGGGUCAGCAGGGUGCCCCGUUUCCUGACCCUGCUGCCUGGGGAGGUUCCCAGCUGAGCAGGAGCUGAGAGAGGCCCUUCGUACUUGCUGGCCUGCCUGUUAGCUCGGAGCCCAGCCUGGAGCUGCACAUGGGCUCUGCUGUGUACUGGGGGUGGUGGGGCAGGGUGGUUGGCGCCCUUGCCUCCAGCAGCACCCAGGCUGCAAGUUCCCCAGGUUGUGAAGACCAAAGAGAGAAGAAAAGCAGGGACUUCCUUUAUUUUUUGGGGGAGGCUUCUCAUGGGAGCUGCCUUGGGCACCAGCCUAAGGGGCUGAGAGACAGGCUGGUGUGUGGAGCAUGGAGAGCGAGGCUAGGCAGAGAGGCAUCCUCUCAGGGUUCCUCACCCUGGGGGCCCAGUGGCAGGUUACAGAAGGGAAAGGUCCUCAUCACUCCUUGCGGAGUCGAGGGUUGCGUGGUCUGGGAAGGCCGGGGGCGAGGACUGUGUCUUCCUGACCACCUGGAGUGUGGAAACAGAGCUGAGGAUGCCGGUGGGUUCUGCUCAGGGACUGGGGCCCACAUGUGGGAGAUGGUCUCACAGACCCAAGAUCUUGAGAGCAGACCCUGCUCCCCAAGCCCACUCUGCAUGUGGGGUGUCCCCAGGGUCCCAUGGAGCUCUGGAGUCAUGGAGUCACCUUGCCUUGAUUAGUUCUUUGUGCUGUUUGAGUUUACUUAAAGGGUGUAGGGCAGGACCUUAACCUCCAUCGACACAUGCAUCCAUCCAUCCAUCAACCCAUGCAUCCAUCCAUCUACCCAUCCACCCACCCAUCCAUCAUCCAUCCACCCAUCCAUCAUCCAUCCACCCAUCCAUCAUCCAUCCACCCAUCCAUCAUCCAUCCACCCAUCCAUCAUCCAUCCAUCCAUCCAUUAUCCAUUCACCCAUCCAUUAUCUACCCAUCAUCUGUCACCCAUCCAUUCAUCUGUCUAAACAGGUAUUUCCUCCCCCCUCACUUGCCCUUGUCAAACCAUCAAUCUUCCUGGGGCCAUGCUGGGUGUCUUGGGAAGACUGUGCUCACCUCAGGCUUUGUGUUGUGUGGUUUCUGUGAGUGGUUUGUAAGUGUGUUGUGUGUGUGUGGUGUGUUGUGUAUGCAUGUUCAUGGGCAGAGGCCUCCAGGAGCUCCCACACAUGGGCAGGGAUAUUUGCCCUCCCUUCACACUGUCCUGCCACUCCCCUCUCUCA
rnacentral:lncRNA from 1 species